rnacentral:rRNA from 1 species
UACGAGGGGGGCGAGCGUUGUUCGGAAUUAUUGGGCGUAAAGGGUGCGUAGGCGGUUCCGCAAGUCCUGUGUGAAAUCUUCGGGCUCAACUCGAAGUCUGCACGGGAAACUGCGGGGCUUGAGUGUGGGAGAGGUGAGUGGAAUUCCCGGUGUAGCGGUGAAAUGCGUUGAUAUCGGGAGGAACUCCGGCGGCGAAAGCGGUGCACUGGUGGAUUGCUGACGCUGAGGUGCGAAAGCCAGGGGAGCAAACGGG